GGAUGUGAGGGAGAUCUGGCUUUGACAUUUGUCAUGUCAUGGAUCACCAGCUUUGAUUUGGCUUAUUGGGCUGGCUAGACUAGUGUCCCCUUCCUCCCUCAAUGCUGCAUGUGUGUCUCUCCCAAAUCUGUGCUUCCUGUGGGAAAGGACUGUUCCUCCAUCAAGGGCAUAUGUGUAGCUGUGUUCCCUUGCUAGAACCUCGAAGGAAGCUCUCAGAAAGUGGCAAGAAUGAUGGGGUAAGUGUGUUCCAAGUGAGGGACAGUGUUUUGAUGGGAAUUAACAGCAAUGUCUUUUAUUGUAAGACAUUUUAAAAAUUUAG
rnacentral:snRNA from 1 species